GAUGAACGCUGGCGGCGUGCCUAAUACAUGCAAGUCGAGCGAACAGACGAGGAGCUUGCUCCUCUGACGUUAGCGGCGGACGGGUGAGUCACACGUGGAUAACCUACCUAUAAGACUGGGAUAACUUCGGGAAACCGGAGCUACUACCGGAUAAUAUAUUGAACCGCAUGGUUCAAUAGUGAAAGACGGUUUUGCUGUCACUUAUAGAUGGAUCCGCGCCGCAUUAGCUAGUUGGUAAGGUAACGGCUUACCAAGGCAACGAUGCGUAGCAGACCUGAGAGGGUGAUCGGCCACACUGGAACUGAGACACGGUCCAGACUCCUACGGGAGGCAGCAGUAGGGAAUCUUCCGCAAUGGGCGAAAGCUUGACGGAGCAACGCCGCGUGAGUGAUGAAGGUCUUCGGAUCGUAAAACUCUGUUAUUAGGGAAGAACAAAUGUGUAAGUAACUAUGCACGUCUUGACGGUACCUAAUCAGAAAGCCACGGCUAACUACGUG
rnacentral:rRNA from 1 species